rnacentral:tRNA from 1 species
GGAGCUGUGGCUUAGUGGUAGAGCACUUGCCUAGCUUGUAUGAGGCUCUGGAUUCAAUCCCCAGCACCA